UUGUUUUUCUAAUUGUCGCCUGAUGCGUCCAUGCAGCGUGUGUGAAGAAGGCCUUCGAGGUUGUAAAGCACUUUCAGUCGUGAGGAAGGUAGUGUGUUUAAUAGAUGCAUUAUUUGACGUUAGCGACAGAAGAAGCACCGGCUAACUCCGUGCCAGCAGCCGCGGUAAUACGGAGGGUGCGAGCGUUAAUCGGAAUUACUGGGCGUAAAGCGCAUGCAGGUGGUUUGUUAAGUCAGAUGUGAAAGCCCGGGGCUCAACCUCGGAAUAGCAUUUGAAACUGGCAGACUAGAGUACUGUAGAGGGGGGUAGAAUUUCAGGUGUAGCGGUGAAAUGCGUAGAGAUCUGAAGGAAUACCGGUGGCGAAGGCGGCCCCCUGGACAGAUACUGACACUCAGAUGCGAAAGCGUGGGGAGCAAACAGGAUUAAAUACCCAAAAAAAUCCC
rnacentral:rRNA from 2 species